CCUACGGGUGGCAGCAGUGGGGAAUAUUGCGCAAUGGGCGAAAGCCUGACGCAGCGACGCCGCGUGAGGGAUGAAGGUCUUCGGAUCGUAAACCUCUGUCAGCAGGGAAGAACGGUCACUGUGCUAAUCAGCAGUGAAUUGACGGUACCUGCAAAGGAAGCACCGGCUAACUCCGUGCCAGCAGCCGCGGUAAUACGGAGGGGGCGAGUGUGAAUCGGAAUUACGGGGCGUAAAGCGCUAGAAGGCGGUAUGUCAAGUCAAGGGUGAAAUCCCCGCGCUCAACGUGGGAACGGCCUGUGAAACUGGCAAACUGGAGUUUCUGAGAGGAUAGUGGAAUUCCAGUUGUA
rnacentral:rRNA from 1 species